rnacentral:rRNA from 1 species
AUAAGACUUUAAUUGGGUGCUAAGAGAAUGGAAAAAUGAUUAAAUUCUUUAUUUAAAAAAAAAUUAAAAUUUUUAAUAAAAAAAAAAAAAUUUUUAUAAUUUUAUUAGACAAGAAGACCCUAUGAAUCUUAAUUUUUUAAAAAAAUUUAAUUGGGGCGAUUAAAAUUUAUAAAAAAACUUUAUUUAAAAAGUUUAAUAAAAAUAAAAAUAAAAGAUACUCUAGGGAUAACAGCGUAAUUAUUUUGGAAAGUUCAUAUUGAUAAAAUAGUUUGCGACCUCGAUGUUGAAUUAAUGGACCUUCUNGGUGCAGAAAUAAAAAAGGAAGAU